GUAGAAGCGUGAGGAGAAGGUGUCCCGAGGAAGGAGACUCGCGCGCUCCUCGCCUCCUCACACCCCUCGCUCGCUCACUCCUCCCCGGCUCGCAGACCCGCUCUCCUCCCUCCCUCCCGCGGAGGCACCGUGUCAGCCAGCGGAGGCGGCCCCGGCCGGGCGGCCAAUCAGCGAGUGGGUGACAAAUAUGCAAAUGUACCCCCCCCAGCCCGUCCCCUCGGGUUCGCUGGGGCUGGUGGGGUCGCGGCGCGGAGCUAGUGAAACUUCGCCAAUAGCCCUCCUGUUUCCCUGCCCGGGCGGGGGAAGAGCAAAUCACGCCGCGCCGCCUCCUCCCGCUCCUCCUCCCGGGCCUGUGCCAGCCAGCCGGUCCCUAAUGAUAAUGAACUACCUAUUUUGGGGUAGGCAUCACCCUGAGUUACUUGACUCUUCACAAAGGAUAUGGACUCUUAAUUCAUGGUUCCUCAAAUGAAGAGAACCUUAACUAAGAUGAAAAUAACACAAAAAAUAAGAACGUGAAUGUCUCUGAUCCUGGAGAGAGAAUGUCUGGAUUUAGUUCUAUUAUGCAAGAGAAAACCACAAAAGCUUUUAAAAUAUCAGUUUAUUCCUGCACAUAAAAUUUAGGUUCAUCUUUGCUAUUGUCUACAUCUCUGAUAUUGUGUACUUUGUGUCCAACCAAUGACUAAGGCAGUGGUUCUCAACCGUCAUUCAUUUGCGGACCCCCUAAAAAUUUCGAAUGGAGGCGUGGACCUGUGUGGAAAUCUUGGAUAUAGCCUCCAGACUCCAGGGUCUAUGGACCACAGGUUGAGAACCACUGGACAAAGGGAUUUGAUAAUUAAGAACGUACAUAGCACAUGAAAAUGUAUAAUUUAACUUAGUGCAGAGGUAUUCUUGUUACAUCUUACUUUCUUUGGCAAACCUCUGCCCAGUUAGAAGCAAGUCUCUUCUACUGUUUUGUAGGGCAAUUCUUAAGUCUAAGAAAAUGAAACUUUUUUCUUUUAUUUCCCCCCCCUCCCCGCCCCAAAUUCCAACCCCCAAACUUCAGAUCUUCCUUCCUGCCUAUAGUUCCCAAUGCUUUACAUCAGAUACUACUGCUAUCAUGCUUUCAGCCCGGUUUCCACUGCUGUCACAUUUGGUCAUCACAAUGAAAUGAUUUUUUUUCUAUCUGCAGAAAGACUUUCUCUGAAUUUAGAGCUAGAAGCACUUUUUUGUAAAAACUUUCAAGAGUUGAAUGGAUCAGGGUCAAAUUUCUUUGCAAUUAGAAUAGAAUGGGUCAAGAAGUUCCCGCCCCGCUAGAUAGGUAAAGGUGCAUAUGUAUUUUAUGUAUAAUAUAUAAACUUUUCCUUAAUUUGAUCUUUUAUAGUCUUAGAGAAAUGAACGAACUCCCAUCUUUUACAAGUAUUUUGAAUUUUGUUGCAUCAUGUCCGUAACCAUAACUUUUUUUAACCCUCUUCGGCCUUCUGAAUGGACACAAACCUUAAAGUGGAUGAUGUCUCAAAUUUCCACAUGAAAGCAGUCAUUGAUGACUGAGGUUUUAUCACUUCUGGCAGGAAGUGGUUGUACUUUUCAACAAUCUGUCCUCUCAGUGUGGAGCAGUGAUUUAUUUACAAUAGGCAAAAGUGAUGACGUGUUUGGAUAUUGAGCUGAAUGUUUACUUGACAUCUACUAGCUGAAGGACUGCGCCUACUAGUCAGGAAGAAUAAUAGCUCCUGUGUCCCCAAAACCCACUGCCUCGGCAAUUAAAGAAAUCUAACUGUUCUGUAGUCUUUAUAAUGUCCUGUAUUUAAUUGUGAUGCUGUCCAUCAACUUUCCAUUUAAUAAAUUUUUACAAGCAUAACUUGCUGUCUCUUGC
ensembl:lncRNA